rnacentral:rRNA from 1 species
UACGAAGGGGGCUAGCGUUGCUCGGAAUCACUGGGCGUAAAGCGUACGUAGGCGGCUUUCUAAGUCAGGGGUGAAAUCCUGGAGCUCAACUCCAGAACUGCCUUUGAUACUGGAGAGCUUGAGUCCGGAAGAGGUGAGUGGAACUCCGAGUGUAGAGGUGAAAUUCGUAGAUAUUCGGAAGAACACCAGUGGCGAAGGCGGCUCACUGGUCCGGUACUGACGCUGAGGUGCGAAAGCGUGGGGAGCAAACAGG